GAUGAACGCUGGCGGCGUGCCUAAUACAUGCAAGUCGAGCGAACAGACGAGGAGCUUGCUCCUCUGACGUUAGCGGCGGACGGGUGAGUAACACGUGGAUAACCUACCUAUAAGACUGGGAUAACUUCGGGAAACCGGAUCUAAUACCGGAUAAUAUAUUGAACCGCAUGGUUCAAUAGUGAAAGACGGUUUUGCUGUCACUUAUUGAUGGAUCCGCGCCGCAUUAGCUAGUUGGUAAGGUAACGGCUUACCAAGGCGACGAUGCGUCGCCGACCUGAGAGGGUGAUCGGCCACACUGGAACUGAGACACGGUCCAGACUCCUACGGGAGGCAGCAGUAGGGAAUCUUCCGCAAUGGGCGAAAGCCUGACGGAGCAACGCCGCGUGAGUGAGGAAGGUCUUCGGAUCGUAAAACUCUGUUAUUAGGGAAGAACAAAUGUGUAAGUAACUAUGCACGUCUUGACGGUACCUAAUCAGAAAGCCACGGCUAACUACGUG
rnacentral:rRNA from 1 species